rnacentral:rRNA from 1 species
GAUUCAUGGCUCAGGAUGAACGCUAGCUACAGGCUUAACACAUGCAAGUCGAGGGGCAUCAGUUUGGUUUGCUUGCAAACCAAAGCUGGCGACCGGCGCACGGGUGAGUAACACGUAUCCAACCUGCCUCAUACUCGGGGAUAGCCUUUCGAAAGAAAGAUUAAUAUCCGAUAGCAUAUAUUUCCCGCAUGGGUUUUAUAUUAAAGAAAUUCGGUAUGAGAUGGGGAUGCGUUCCAUUAG